AUACAAUGCCGCACAAUAAUUGCUUUAAAUGUGCCUGAAAUGUAGGUUUUUGCAUAAAAAAAAACAACCUUCAACCUUGAUUGAGACAAAGGCAAUAAUUCAAAUGCAAUUCAAACUACACACAGUAUUUAAUGUUUUCAAAUGGUUACAAUAGCACAUUAUUUGGGUAUUUUUAUCUUUGGGGCAAAUUUAGGAUUAAUAUGGGGAUUGUUUUUGGAGGUAUUCACUUUACAUGGUGUUCAAGAUGGUUACUUCCGCCCACUCUGAAGAGUCUCGGCGUCUGAUUGGUCCAAUUUUCAGUUAGGCGCCGCCUGAUUGGCCGCUGGACGAUGUCUGCUCCUAACAGAGGGCUAAAUCACUAGUGAACUAUUUUCAUCAUGGAAGUUAUACAGCUCAUGUAUCACACUUAAUAUUGAAUAUAUUUAUAAAAAGGGUUUUCCAAAAGGACCAUUUAUAAUCGAAAUACACAACUUCACACACGAUUUUGAGCACAACAGAGCGCUCAGUGAACAGCACUUCCGGGACCUGCAUCACCAGAGGGGGACAUCUAUCUUGGCCACAAACCAUCUUUGACAGUCUUCAGCAGCAUGGUUGAAUCAGGCGCAUCAACACAUGAUAUAGACAUCGUGCCCAAAAGAAGAGCGAGACGUAAUCCUGAGGCUGAAGCCACCGAGUUUAUUUGAUCUGGAUGUGACAAGUCUUGUUUUAAGGCCCAGUGGAUCAAUGAUUGGAAAGACACCAACUGUUGAUGUUCUAUCUCAACAUUCUCCAGAUUCAUGUGAGCGAUAAACCGACUUCAUCCCUCCAACAGACACCAACUGUUGGGGUUCUAUCUCAACAUUCUCCAGAUUCAGAUGUGAGCGAUAAACCGACUUCAUCCCUCCAACAGAAACCAACUGUUGAGGUUCCAUCUCAACAUUCUCCAGAUUCAGAUGUGAGCCAUUAACUGACUUCAUCCCUCCAACAGAAACCAACUGUUUGAGGUUCUAUCUCAACAUUCUCUAGAUUCAGAUGACAGCCAUAAACCGACUUCAUCCCUCCAACAGAUUGACAGCAGGACAAAUCGCUGGAAGUAGGUAUGUCUCAAGCUUCUUCCACUUGGUCCACUCCAAAGCGGGCUGCAAAGGGGAAGAAGUGGAAGGAGUUGAAUGACACAUGUUGCAUUUUGUAACUGGCAACAAAGUACCAGGUAAAAAAGAUUGUGAAGCCUGCCUCCAUAAAGAACUAGUAGCUCUACAGGACAGAGAUUGGCUUGCCAUCAAGUACUACAUCCAUAACAGAAUUAUAUUAAAAAAAGGGAAAAAAAAUGUUUUCCCACAUCUUCUGUGGUAGUUUGAGUAUGUUACCAGCAAUUAAAAAAGCAAAAUAAACA